rnacentral:tRNA from 1 species
UCCCUGGUGGCUCAGAGGUUAAAGUGUCUGCCUGCAAGGCAAGAGACCCAGGUUCAAUCCCUGGGUCGGGAA